GAUGAACGCUGGCGGCGUGCUUAACACAUGCAAGUCGAACGGAAAGGCCCUGCUUUUGUGGGGUGCUCGAGUGGCGAACGGGUGAGUAACACGUGAGUAACCUGCCCUUGACUUUGGGAUAACUUCAGGAAACUGGGGCUAAUACCGGAUAGGAGCUCCUGCUGCAUGGUGGGGGUUGGAAAGUUUCGGCGGUUGGGGAUGGACUCGCGGCUUAUCGGCUUGUUGGUGGGGUAGUGGCUUACCAAGGCUUUGACGGGUAGCCGGCCUGAGAGGGUGACCGGCCACAUUGGGACUGAGAUACGGCCCAGACUCCUACGGGAGGCAGCAGUGGGGAAUAUUGCACAAUGGGCGGAAGCCUGAUGCAGCAACGCCGCGUGCGGGAUGACGGCCUUCGGGUUGUAAACCGCUUUCGCCUGUGACGAAGCGUGAGUGACGGUAAUGGGUAAAGAAGCACCGGCUAACUACGUG
rnacentral:rRNA from 1 species